AGGAAGGAGCAAACUUUUUAGUAGAUGGCAUUGGGAAAACUGGCUUUGCACUGUAUACAAUAACAAACAAACAAACUGGCCCCCUACCCUUGACCAUUACAAAGGUGGAUUCCAGAGGAGGAUUUAGUUAUGAAAGAACUAAAUCUGAAAGGUGAAAGCAUAGCAUAACCUUGUGAUCUAGAGAUGGAGAAGAUACCUCUUAAACAUUACUUUUUAUUUUCAAUGCAACAAAUCCCCAUUUCUGGUGAGAAAAUCUUGCCAAAACCAACCAAGCAAAUGUAUAAAAGUCCCUAAGCCCAAACUGGAUUUUGCCUCAUUUUCUAAGAUGCAAAGGAAAUGGUAAAAGUUGAUCAAAGGAAGGGGAGAGGAGCACAGCAGCUGGGAGGGGCAAGUCUGGGGUCCUGGGCAACCCCCUUCUUCCUGCCCAGACUCUGCUCCAAGGAGCAGUUGCCUUAGGACCAGACCAGAUGGAAACUCUUUUGUUCUCUUCUCAUCAGCAGAAAAAUUUAGGCAAAGAGCUCUGGAGGACGUUCCUAGCUCCUAAAAAUGGUGUG
rnacentral:lncRNA from 1 species